CAGCACCGCCACCUCUAACGGAGGCAGAGGAGCUGGCCCUAAGCCAGAAUUUAGGAAGGCCAGUGGCUGAGGGAAUCCCUGAGCUCAUCCUCUGAGCCCACCCCCCAAGACACAAGUGCCUUUAUAAAAUAUUCUGAUGGUGCUAUCUGCCUGGUGGAGCCCCCUCAUGCAAUAACAGAUCUUGUAACUGAUGAAGAGGACGAGGGAACUGUGUCUGCUGCCUUUACAGACGGGGAUCCAGAAAGGCCUAUAGAGAGCAUGGCUGGGCAGCAGCAGGAGGGUCCCUCAACUUCCACUGCACAGAUUGACACAGUUGAAAAAACACACUGCUGAAAAAAAAAUAAAGAAAACCGAUAAAGAAAUGUUAUACUUGGACCGCCAGAUUAGGAAGGCAGAUUUGGAAAUUGAAAUACUGGAGCACAAGUUAGAGG